GGAAAAAAAAAAACUCAACAGCUCUAAAGUAUCUUCGGUGCAAAAUGUAGCGCCAUAUGAGGAUGACUUUUUUAUAUCUCCAGCUUAAGCAUUCAUAAACUGGUAGAAAUUACAUGCUGGAAUUGCAGUUAAUUGAUGAUACAAACUUUCUCUUUUUAUGUUAUUGUUUUAAGACCUUUUAAAAAUUGAUGAAAUACAGCUCAGCCUUGCAGAUUGGGGGUCUCCAGUGUUUCCUAGGCGACGCCCAGUGAUCUUAUACUUAAUUCGGUAUCUCGUGCGCUUGUGUGAAUCACAUAUGCAUGGAGGUGACAAAGCAUCUGAACUGUUCAACGGAUUAUUUUACUUUAAAAUUGCUUAUGGGCUGCCUACAGCUUGGAUUGCAUUAAUCCGUAACAACGCCUAUAUAGAUAAAAUGAGAUUACCCAAAUCUAAUCUCAUCCCACUUCAUCGUCGUUUGACAUGUUUCAAAACUAUUUAUUUUCACAUUGCCAGUUUAGGUUAAAAGCUAUAGAACUGAAAAGGAUUAACACCCCAUACUUAAAUUCCCAUUUUGAGCGAAGGAAAUAUACUCAAGGCCUAUAAUGUGGAAUGAAAACCAGUUACGCUAAAAUUUAUCAACUUUUGCAUUAUUUCUCUAGUUUUACCUUUCCUAUACAGUAUUUCAAUCGUGCAUGGGUGUGAAUAUUUAUACAUGCAGGUAUCGAUUAUAUCGAAAUAGAACAAAUAUAGACUUUAUACGGUCUUAAACUAUAGCUUCCCUUUUAUCAAGUUUGAUUUUGAUCCAAAUUACUUUGGUGUGCUAAUAAAUAUGAAAACUAGUUUAUAUUGAAAUUUCAGGGUAUUUAUCUUCUGCCUUUGCACAAUUCACAAUUAUUAUACUGAGGCAUGCAUAUAUUUUAAGGUAAUUAAGAUUUUUUAGGAAAAGUAAAUAAUCAAUCCCAAUGCGUCAUUGGCAAAUAAUAAUAUUCACAAAUAUGGAUAAAAACGUAAUUUUAAUUUUAAUUUUAAUUUGCUGG